UGGAGAAUAUUGCACAAUGGGGGAAACCCUGAUGCAGCGACGCCGCGUGAGUGAAGAAGUAUCUCGGUACGUAAAGCUCUAUCAGCAGGGAAGAAAAAAAGUCCUUUGGACUUUGGACGGUACCUGACUAAGAAGCCCCGGCUAACUACGUGCCAGCAGCCGCGGUAAUACGUAGGGGGCAAGCGUUAUCCGGAUUUACUGGGUGUAAAGGGAGCGUAGACGGCAGCGCAAGUCUGGAGUGAAAUGCCGGGGCCCAACCCCGGAACUGCUUUGGAAACUGUGCAGCUCGAGUGCAGGAGAGGUAAGCGGAAUUCCUAGUGUAGCGGUGAAAUGCGUAGAUAUUAGGAGGAACACCAGUGGCGAAGGCGGCUUACUGGACUGUAACUGACGUUGAGGCUCGAAAGCGUGGGGAGCAAACAGG
rnacentral:rRNA from 1 species